rnacentral:rRNA from 1 species
UACGGGGGGAGCAAGCGUUGUUCGGAUUUACUGGGCGUAAAGGGCGCGUAGGCGGCCACCGCAAGUCGGUUGUGAAAUCUCUGGGCUUAACCCAGAAAGGUCAACCGAUACUGCGGGGCUAGAGUGCAGAAGGGGCAACUGGAAUUCUCGGUGUAGCGGUGAAAUGCGUAGAUAUCGAGAGGAACACCUGCGGCGAAGGCGGGUUGCUGGGCUGACACUGACGCUGAAGCGCGAAAGUUAGGGGAGCGAACGGG